GACGUGGGGCGCGAGCGUUGUCCGGAUUUAUUGGGCGUAAAGAGCUCGUAGGCGGCUUGUCGCGUCGUUCGUGAAAACCUGGGGCUCAACCCCAGGCUUGCGGGCGAUACGGGCAGGCUAGAGUUCGGUAGGGGAGACUGGAAUUCCUGGUGUAGCGGUGAAAUGCGCAGAUAUCAGGAGGAACACCGGUGGCGAAGGCGGGUCUCUGGGCCAUUACUGACACUGAGAAGCGAAAGCAUGGGGGGCGAACAGG
rnacentral:rRNA from 1 species